UAAUACGGAGGGUGCAAGCGUUGUUCGGAAUCACUGGGCGUAAAGCGCGUGUAGGCGGUUUUUUAAGUCGGAUGUGAAAUCCCUCGGCUCAACCGAGGACGUGCAUCCGAUACUGGAAAACUUGAGUAUCGGAGGGGAUGGCGGAAUUCCUGGUGUAGAGGUGAAAUUCGUAGAUAUCAGGAGGAACAUCUGUGGCGAAGGCGGCCAUCUGGAAGAUAACUGACGCUGAGACGCGAAAGCGUGGGGAGCAAACAGGAUUAGAUACCCUGGUAGUCCACGCCGUAAACGAUGGGUGCUAGAUGUUGCGGGUAUUGACCCCUGCAGUGUCGUAGCUAACGCGUUAAGCACCCCGCCUGGGGAGUACGGUCGCAAGAUUA
rnacentral:rRNA from 1 species